CAAGUCGAACGGUAACGCGGGGGCAACCCUGGCGACGAGUGGCGAACGGGUGAGUAAUACAUCGGAACGUGUCCUGAGGUGGGGGAUAACCUAUCGAAAGGUAGGCUAAUACCGCAUACGCUCGGGAGAGGAAAGCGGGGGAUCGGAAACGACCUCGCGUCGCAGGAGCGGCCGAUGUCCGAUUAGCUAGUUGGUGGGGUAAAGGCUUACCAAGGCGACGAUCGGUAGCUGGUCUGAGAGGAUGAUCAGCCACACUGGGACUGAGACACGGCCCAGACUCCUACGGGAGGCAGCAGUGGGGAAUUUUGGACAAUGGGGGCAACCCUGAUCCAGCCAUGCCGCGUGAGUGAAGAAGGCCUUCGGGUUGUAAAGCUCUUUCGGUGGGAACGAAACGGUUACCACUAACACUGGUGACUACUGACGGUACUCACAGAAGAAGCACCGGCUAACUACGUGCCAGCAGCCGCGGUAAUACGUAGGGUGCGAGCGUUAAUCGGAAUUACUGGGCGUAAAGCGUGCGCAGGCGGUGGCUCAAGCCAGGCGUGAAAUCCCCGGGCUUAACCUGGGAAUGGCGUUUGGGACUGGGUCGCUAGAGUGUGGCAGAGGGAGGUGGAAUUCCACGUGUAGCAGUGAAAUGCGUAGAGAUGUGGAGGAACACCGAUGGCGAAGGCAGCCUCCUGGGCCAGCACUGACGCUCAUGCACGAAAGCGUGGGGAGCAAACAGGAUUAGAUACCCUGGUAGUCCACGCCCUAAACGAUGUCAACUGGUUGUUGGGGAAGGAAACUUCCUUAGUAACCAAGCUAACGCGUGAAGUUGACCGCCUGGGGAGUACGGCCGCAAGGUUAAAACUCAAAGGAAUUGACGGGGACCCGC
rnacentral:rRNA from 1 species